GAUGAACGCUGGCGGCGUGCCUAAUACAUGCAAGUCGAGCGAAUGGAUUAAGAGCUUGCUCUUAUGAAGUUAGCGGCGGACGGGUGAGUAACACGUGGGUAACCUACCCAUAAGACUGGGAUAACUCCGGGAAACCGGGGCUAAUACCGGAUAAUAUUUUGAACUGCAUAGUUCGAAAUUGAAAGGCGGCUUCGGCUGUCACUUAUGGAUGGACCCGCGUCGCAUUAGCUAGUUGGUGAGGUAACGGCUCACCAAGGCGACGAUGCGUAGCCGACCUGAGAGGGUGAUCGGCCACACUGGGACUGAGACACGGCCCAGACUCCUACGGGAGGCAGCAGUAGGGAAUCUUCCGCAAUGGACGAAAGUCUGACGGAGCAACGCCGCGUGAGUGAUGAAGGCUUUCGGGUCGUAAAACUCUGUUGUUAGGGAAGAACAAGUGCUAGUUGAAUAAGCUGGCACCU
rnacentral:rRNA from 3 species